AGUGAACGCUGGCGGUAGGCCUAACACAUGCAAGUCGAACGGCAGCACAGUAAGAGCUUGCUAUUACGGGUGGCGAGUGGCGGACGGGUGGUGAAUACAUUGGAAUCUACUUUUGCGUGGGGGAGAGCGUAGGGAAACAUACGCUAAUACCGCAUACUACCUGCGGGUGGAAUCAGGGGAUCUUCGGACCUUGCGCGAUUUAAUGGCCUGAUGUCGGAUUAGCUAGUUGGCGGGGUAAAGGCCCACCAAGGCGACGAUCCGUAGCUGGUCUGAGAGGAUGAUCAGCCACACUGGAACUGAGACACGGUCCAGACUCCUAGGGGAGGCAGCAGCGGGGAAUAUUGGCCAAUGGGCGCAAGCCUGAUCCAGCCAUACCGGGUGGGUGAAGAAGGCCUUCGGGUUGUAAAGCCCUUUUGUUGGGAAAGACAAGCAGCACGUUAAUACAACGCUGUUCUGACGGUACCUAAAGAAUAAGCACCGGCUAACUUCGUG
rnacentral:rRNA from 1 species